rnacentral:rRNA from 1 species
GAUGAACGCUGGCGGCGUGCCUAAUACAUGCAAGUCGAACGAAACUUCUUUAUCACCGAGUGCUUGCACUCACCGAUAAAGAGUUGAGUGGCGAACGGGUGAGUAACACGUGGGCAACCUGCCCAAAAGAGGGGGAUAACACUUGGAAACAGGUGCUAAUACCGCAUAACCAUGGUUACCGCAUGGUAACUAUGUAAAAGGUGGCUAUACUACCGCUUUUGGAUGGGCCCGCGGCGCAUUAGCUAGUUGGUAGGGUAAAGGCUUACCAAGGCAAUGAUGCGUAGCCGAAUUGAGAGGUUGAUCGGCCACAUUGGGACUGAGACACGGCCCAAACUCCUACGGGAGGCAGCAGUAGGGAAUCUUCCACAAUGGGCGAAAGCCUGAUGGAGCAACGCCGCGUGGGUGAAGAAGGUCUUCGGAUCGUAAAACCCUGUUGUUAGGGAAGAAAGUGCGUGAGAGUAACUGUUCACGUUUCGACGGUAUCUAACCAGAAAGCCACGGCUAACUACGUG